CAAUAGCGUAUAUUUAAGUUGUUGCAGUUAAAAAGCUCGUAGUUGGAUUUCUGCUGAUCGCUGUCGGUCUGCCGUCAGGUGUGUACUGGCAGUGUUUGGCAUCUAUUCGAGAUUGGGUGUCCACUUGAUUGUGUGCACUCGAUGUCGGAGCUAAUACUUUGAGAAAAUUAGAGUGUUCCACGCAGGCGCGUGCCUUGAAUACUGCAGCAUGGGAUAUUGGAAGGCCGAUUGAGCUUUCUUGUUGGUUCUCGGUUUGAUCGGAAUGAUUAAUAGGGAUAGUUGGGGGCAUUUGUAUUCAACUGUCAGAGGUGAAAUUCUUGGAUUUGUUGAAGACGGACUACUGCGAAAGCAUCUGCCAUGGAUGUUCUCAUUGA
rnacentral:rRNA from 1 species